rnacentral:rRNA from 1 species
AAUAGAUUAAAAUUGAUUUUGUUUAUUUUAAAAAUUAAAUUGAAAACAUUUUUAAAUAUAGUAAUGGUGAUUGAAAUUAUAUAAUGAAAAGAAUAGUACUGUAAAGGAAUAUAAGUUAAAUUAAAUUAAAGCAGUUGUUAGAGAUGUACCUUUUGUAUCAUGGUUAAGCAAGAUUUAUUAAUUAAAUUAUUUUUCUAGAAAUCUAAUGAGCUAUUUUGAUUUAAUUAUUAGAUAAAUUUAGGUAAAUGUAGCAGAAUUUUCUAAAAAAGUUGAAAUAGAAAUUAUAUUUUAUUCGUAUUAGAUGAUAGCUAGUUUUCUUAUAAAUAUAUAUAAGUAUAUAGUUAUAUAUUAAUUAAUUAGAUGUGUAUUGUUUAGUUAAUUGAAGUAUAAAUUAAAAAUAGUUAAGGCUAAUCUUAAUUAUAAUAAAAAAAGAAUAUUGUAUUUGUUUUUUUAUAAAAUAUAGGCUUGAGGUUAGUUAUUAUAUUUAGUUUGUUAUAAAAUAUUAUAGUAUUAUAUAUUAAAUUAGUUUAUUAGUAUAUUUUAUUGUUAUGAGAAUAUAUAAUUAAAUUAUUAUUAGUUAUAUUAUUUAUGCUUAAAUGAGUAUUUAUAUAUAAUGUUGUUUAAAUAAAAUAAAUAUUUAGAUAAAUUUUUGUAUUAAUAUAAUAAAAUAUAAAUAAGGAAUUCGGCAAAGUUAUUAUUUCGCCUGUUUAGCAAAAACAUGUCUUUUUGAUUUUAGUGUAUAGAAAGUUUGACCUGCCCGGUGAUAUAAGUUAAACGGCCGCGGUAUUUUGACCGUGCGAAGGUAGCAUAAUCAAUUGUCUUAUAAUUGAAGACUGGAAUGAAUGGUUAAACGAAAUUAAGACUGUCUCAUUUAUAUUAAUUAGAAAUUGGCUUUUAAAUGAAGAGAUUUAAAUUUAAUUAAUAGACAAGAAGACCCUAUUGAGCUUUAAAUUAUUUUAAAAGUGAUGAUUUAUUAUUAAAAAUUUAAGGUUUUAGAAAUUUUUUAGUUGGGGCGACUAAGGAACAUGAAAAGCUUCCUUUAUUUAUUAGAUUGAUAAAUUUUGAUCCAGUAUUGCUGAUUAAUAAAAAUAGUUACCAUAGGGAUAACAGCAUAAUCUUCUUGAAGAGUUCUUAUCAAAAAGGGGGGUUGUGACCUCGAUGUUGGAUUAAAAUAUCCUAAAGGUGCAGAAGCUUUUAAGGGUUGGUCUGUUCGACCAUUAAAAUUUUACAUGAUCUGAGUUCAGACCGGCGUGAGCCAGGUCAGUUUCUAUCUUUAAUUUAUGAUAAUUAAUUUUAGUACGAAAGGACCAAAUUAAUAGAAUAGUUAUUAAAUCUUUAUUUUGAAUUUAUAUAAUUUGUAAUUUAAUUUUAUUAUAUUUAUAAUUAUUUAUUUAGUAAAUAUUUACAGUGAUUUUGGGUUGGUAAAUUA